GUGGCUGUUUUCUGUGGAAUGGAAUUGUGAGAGCUGCAGGAGUGCAAGGUGUGGGUUCCAGUCCCCAGCAUUUGGUUUCCACAUGUCCUGGUCAGACACAGGUCCAGCUUCCUCAGUCCUUAACACACCAGAGGGAGAAUUAAGGGAUGGCACUGUUAAGG